UGGUGGGUAGUUUGACUGGGGCGGUCUCCUCCUAAAGAGUAACGGAGGAGCACGAAGGUUGGCUAAUCCUGGUCGGACAUCAGGAGGUUAGUGCAAUGGCAUAAGCCAGCUUGACUGCGAGCGUGACGGCGCGAGCAGGUGCGAAAGCAGGUCAUAGUGAUCCGGUGGUUCUGAAUGGAAGGGCCAUCGCUCAACGGAUAAAAGGUACUCCGGGGAUAACAGGCUGAUACCGCCCAAGAGUUCAUAUCGACGGCGGUGUUUGGCACCUCGAUGUCGGCUCAUCACAUCCUGGGGCUGAAGUAGGUCCCAAGGGUAUGGCUGUUCGCCAUUUAAAGUGGUACGCGAGCUGGGUUUAGAACGUCGUGAGACAGUUCGGUCCCUAUCUGCCGUGGGCGCUGGAGAACUGAGGGGGGCUGCUCCUAGUACGAGAGGACCGGAGUGGACGCAUCACUGGUGUUCGGGUUGUCAUGCCAAUGGCAC
rnacentral:rRNA from 3 species